ensembl:snoRNA LOC120102075 small nucleolar RNA SNORA17
CCCGCCCAUGAAGCGAUAUGUAUGACUGCUGUGUCACAUGUGCAUCCAUAGAUGGCAGAGAGGAAAGAGGUUAUGUCUACAUUCAAGAUGCUGACCUAUGACCUUCUGAACAUUAGUAGCCCAACGUU